ACGAACGCUGGCGGCGCGCCUAACACAUGCAAGUCGAACGAGCGAGAGAGAGCUUGCUUUCUCGAGCGAGUGGCGAACGGGUGAGUAACGCGUGAGGAACCUGCCUCAAAGAGGGGGACAACAGUUGGAAACGACUGCUAAUACCGCAUAAGCCCACGGCUCGGCAUCGAGCAGAGGGAAAAGGAGCAAUCCGCUUUGAGAUGGCCUCGCGUACGAUUAGCUAGUUGGUGAGGUAACGGCCCACCCAGGCGACGAUCGGUAGCCGGACUGAGAGGUUGAAAGGCCACAUUGGGACUGAGACACGGCCCAGACUCCGACGGGAGGAAGCAGUGGGGAAUAUUGCAGAAUGGGGGAAACCCUGAUGCAGCGACGCCGCGUGGAGGAAGAAGGUCUUCGGAUUGUAAACUCCUGUUGUUGAGGAAGAUAAUGACGGUACUCAACAAGGAAGUGACGGCUAACUACGUGCCAACCGCCGCAGUAA
rnacentral:rRNA from 1 species